rnacentral:rRNA from 1 species
GAUGAACGCUGGCGGCGUGCCUAAUACAUGCAAGUCGAGCGAACGGACGAGAAGCUUGCUUCUCUGAUGUUAGCGGCGGACGGGUGAGUAACACGUGGAUAACCUACCUAUAAGACUGGGAUAACUUCGGGAAACCGGAGCUAAUACCGGAUAAUAUUUUGAACCGCAUGGUUCAAAAGUGAAAGACGGUCUUGCUGUCACUUAUAGAUGGAUCCGCGCUGCAUUAGCUAGUUGGUAAGGUAACGGCUUACCAAGGCAACGAUGCAUAGCCGACCUGAGAGGGUGAUCGGCCACACUGGAACUGAGACACGGUCCAGACUCCUACGGGAGGCAGCAGUAGGGAAUCUUCCGCAAUGGGCGAAAGCCUGACGGAGCAACGCCGCGUGAGUGAUGAAGGUCUUCGGAUCGUAAAACUCUGUUAUUAGGGGAGAACAUAUGUGUAAGUAACUGUGCGCAUCUUGACGGUACCUAAUCAGAAAGCCACGGCUAACUACGUG